rnacentral:lncRNA from 1 species
CCUGGAUUCAAAAUCCAUUUUCUGUAACAGAUGAUGAUGAUGAUGAUUAGGGCUCGGAAGUUUAAGACAUGUCAUAUUUUUUUCCUUAACUGUAUUCAACUUAAAAACCAAUUUUAACUGCAAAAUAGACGAAUUGAAAUAUGUCUAGGUGAAAUUUAUUGGUCAUAUAAAUUCAUAUUUACCACAUUCGGUCAUAUUUGGUCAUAUUUCCGCCUAAAUUUUCGUAAAUGUCAUAUUUUGGGUAUUUUUUAGUAAUUUACUCUCAAUUAAAUGUGAGGAAUGCAAUAAAUUAAAAGAAUAUUUUCCAAGCUGUUUUAUGUAAUAAUUUCUUAUCAAUUUACUUCUACGUUGCUAUAAAACACAUGUAUAUGGUGGCGUUUUGGCAACACGCAGUGAGCCAUUUACAUCACUUUCUAUUCUCUAUCAAGCAGUGAGAGUUUGUUUAUUGUUUUCGUAGGUGAAGUUGUGAGUCACAACUUUUGACACAAGCUACAUAAUGCCUAAAGAAAAAUGUUCUAUUGGUGUAAGACUCCGUUGUUUUGUGAAAGAAUUUGGUGAAGAAUAUUUUACCACCGAUGGUAAAGUGCUAUUCUGCAAACUAUGUGAUGUGAAAGUUACAGCAGAAAAACGUUUCCAUGUCCAACAACAUGUGAAGGCAUUGAAGCACAUAGGCCAUAUGGCUCGGAAGAAAAGCAGCCAGGAAAAGCAACAAUUAAUCUUCAACGACAGAACUGCUUCAUCAAGAUCAGACAAAACUUCAGAGUUUU